GCGGUUGUGGUUCAGUGGUAGAAUGCUCACCUAGCACGUGUGAGGCACUGGGUUCAAUCCUCAGCAGCA
rnacentral:tRNA from 1 species